AACGCUAGCUACAGGCUUAACACAUGCAAGUCGAGGGGAAACGACAUCGAAAGCUUGCUUUUGAUGGGCGUCGACCGGCGCACGGGUGAGUAACGCGUAUCCAACCUGCCCAUCACUUGGGGAUAACCUUGCGAAAGUAAGACUAAUACCCAAUGAUAUCUCUAGAAGACAUCUGAAAGAGAUUAAAGAUUUAUCGGUGAUGGAUGGGGAUGCGUCUGAUUAGCUUGUUGGCGGGGUAACGGCCCACCAAGGCAACGAUCAGUAGGGGUUCUGAGAGGAAGGUCCCCCACAUUGGAACUGAGACACGGUCCAAACUCCUACGGGAGGCAGCAGUGAGGAAUAUUGGUCAAUGGACGAGAGUCUGAACCAGCCAAGUAGCGUGCAGGAAGACGGCCCUAUGGGUUGUAAACUGCUUUUAUAAGGGAAUAAAGUGAGUCUCGUGAGACUUUUUGCAUGUACCUUAUGAAUAAGGACCGGCUAAUUCCGUGCCAGCAGCCGCGGUAAUACGGAAGGUCCGGGCGUUAUCCGGAUUUAUUGGGUUUAAAGGGAGCGUAGGCCGGAGAUUAAGCGUGUUGUGAAAUGUAGAUGCUCAACAUCUGAACUGCAGCGCGAACUGGUUUCCUUGAGUACGCACAAAGUGGGCGGAAUUCGUGGUGUAGCGGUGAAAUGCUUAGAUAUCACGAAGAACUCCGAUUG
rnacentral:rRNA from 1 species